GCUAGCAUCAUCAUUACCAGGCAGUAUUAGAGAGAUUGAUGAUAUCCAAUGCUGCCUUGUAAGAUGGGGAUGAC
rnacentral:pre_miRNA from 1 species